rnacentral:rRNA from 1 species
AUACGGAGACUACGAGCGUUACUCGGAUUCACUGGGCGUAAAGGGAGCGCAGGCGGAAUGAUGUGUUAGGUGUGAAAUCCCGGGGCUUAACUCCGGAACUGCGACCUAAAACUAUCAAUCUAGAGUAUUGGAGAGGCAAGCGGAAUUUCUGGUGUAGCGGUAAAAUGCGUAGAUAUCAGAAGGAACACCGAAGGCGAAGGCAGCUUGCUGGACAAUAACUGACGCUCAUGCUCGAAAGCGUGGGGAGC